rnacentral:rRNA from 1 species
GUUGUCCGGAUUUAUUGGUCGUAAAGAGCGUGUAGGCGGCCAUGUAGGUCCGGUGUGAAAACUCGAGGCUUAACCUCGAGAUGUCAUCGGAAACCAUUUGGCUAGAGUCCGGAAGAGGAGAGUGGAAUUCCUGGUGUAGCGGUGAAAUGCGCAGAUAUCAGGAAGAACACCAAUGGCGAAAGCAGCUCUCUGGGACGGUACUGACGCUGAGACGCGAAAGCGUGGGGAGCGAACAGG